rnacentral:rRNA from 1 species
CCUACGGGAGGCAGCAGUGGGGAAUAUUGGGCAAUGGAGGAAACUCUGACGCAGCAACGCCGCGUGAAUGAUGAAGGUCUUCGGAUUGUACAGUUCUUUUCUAAGGGAAGAAGAAAGUGACGGUACCUUAGGAAUAAGCCUCGGCUACCUACGGGCCAGCAGCCGCGGUAAUACGUAGGAGGCAAGCGUUAUCCGGGAGGACUGGGCGUAAAGGGUGCGGAGGUGGUUUGAAAAGUUGGUAGCGUAACUCCGGGGCUCAACCUCGGCACUACUACCAAGACUGGUGGGCUUGAGUGCAGGAGGGGCAAAUAGAAUGCCUAGUGUAGCGGUGGAAUGCGUAGAUAUUAGGAGGAACACCAGUGGCGAAGGCGAUUUGCUGGACUGUAACUGACACUGAGGCACGAAAGCGUGGGGAGCAAACAGGAUUAGAUACCCUAGUAGUC